AGUGAACGCUGGCGGUAGGCCUAACACAUGCAAGUCGAACGGCAGCACAGUAAGAGCUUGCUCUUACGGGUGGCGAGUGGCGGACGGGUGAGGAAUACAUCGGAAUCUACUUUUUCGUGGGGGAUAACGUAGGGAAACUUACGCUAAUACCGCAUACGACCUACGGGUGAAAGCAGGGGAUCUUCGGACCUUGCGCGAUUGAAUGAGCCGAUGUCGGAUUAGCUAGUUGGCGGGGUAAAGGCCCACCAAGGCGACGAUCCGUAGCUGGUCUGAGAGGAUGAUCAGCCACACUGGAACUGAGACACGGUCCAGACUCCUACGGGGGGCAGCAGUGGGGAAUAUUGGACAAUGGGCGCAAGCCUGAUCCAGCCAUACCGCGUGGGUGAAGAAGGCCUUCGGGUUGUAAAGCCCUUUUGUUAGGAAAGAAAAGCAGCAGGUUAAUACCCCGCUGUUCUGACGGUACCCAAAGAAUAAGCGCCGGCUAACUUCGUG
rnacentral:rRNA from 1 species